GCUGAGAGCUGGGUCUUUGCGGGCAAGAUGAGAGUGUCAGUUCAACUGGCCUACAAAGUCCCAGUCCUCGGU
rnacentral:pre_miRNA from 1 species